rnacentral:lncRNA from 1 species
CUGCCAAACGCUGAAAAAAUGAACAUCAUAAUGGGUUACAUUCGCCGUUGUUCGUGGAUACAUUGACCUUGAAUUUUGCGUGGCCCACCCAUAGUGCAAUAAUGGGUCAUUUUCUCAUGAGCCAAAAAUGUAGAAAAGUAUUAUCUCCAUUGAGAUAAUUCCGUUUGGAAGACUGUUAUAAUGUGAGUUUGAGUCAUUCCUUAUUUAAUUUUGGCCGGCUUCAAUUACCAGCAUCUCCUGUAUCCAUCUCAUCCUGUGUGGGCAACCUUCCUCAUUUCUUUCAACCUAAAGUAUAAAAAUUGAAGCAUACUUCAGAUCGGAGCAAGGUCCCUCGAAAGACCACCAUUCAGAUUCUUGACGACUGCAGUUUACGCCGCAUUUUUACUUUGUCUACUGCUUCAUCAUCUGCAUCACGGAGUGAGACUUCCAGCAUGCGUCUCGACUGGGGUGGCAGCCUUGAGGUGGGGGCGAUUUGGGAGCGAUGACAACAGCUCGUCUUCUCACGGAGGACGGGUCUCUGCGAGAGCUAAGGAGAGGGCCGGAUGCUGCAGGUGGUAUUGUUGACAGGGCGGCACGAAGCCUAGAGUGUAGCUCCUCUGUGCUACCUGGCUGGCUAGCGCUGGCCAGGGGAAGCUCUCGCUCCCGGUUCAGAGGACUUCCACCGAGCAGCAGCUCGGGCCAAUUCACUUUAAGAAAGAUUUUGCUGUGCUGUCCAGAACACAAUUCCGAUUUAAGAAAUUAAAUAUUUUUUGAAGUUUUCUACUCAUCGCUA